AAAAGACUUAGUCCUAACCUUACUGUUAAUUCUUGCUAAACGCAUACAUGCAAGUAUCUGCGCCCCAGUGUGAAUGCCCUCCGCAUCUUGCCAAGACACGAGGAGCCGGUAUCAGGCACACCCAUUAAUUGUAGCCCAAGACACCUUGCUUAGCCACACCCCCACGGGUACUCAGCAGUAGCUAAUAUUAAGCAAUAAGUGCAAACUUGACUUAGUUAUAGCAACACUUCAGGGUUGGUAAAUCUUGUGCCAGCCACCGCGGUCACACAAGAGACCCAAAUUAACAGCAACGCGGCGUAAAGAGUGGUAUCAUGUUAUCAUAACAACUAAGGUUGAAAUGCAACUGAGCUGUCAUAAGCCCAAGAUGCGCCUAAAACCGCCCUUAAGAGGAUCUUAGCAACUAUGAUCGAUUGAACCCCACGAAAGCUAGGGUACAAACUGGGAUUAGAUACCCCGCUAUGCCUAGCCCUAAAUCUUGAUGCUUUCCCCACUAAAGUAUCCGCCUGAGAACUACGAGCACAAACGCUUAAAACUCUAAGGACUUGGCGGUGCCCCAAACCCACCUAGAGGAGCCUGUUCUAUAACCGAUAACCCACGAUACACCCAACCACUCCUUGCCAGAGCAGCCUACAUACCGCCGUCGCCAGCUCACCUCCCUUGAGAGUAAAACAGUGGGCACAACAGCCUAAACCUCGCUAGUACGACAGGUCAAGGUAUAGCCUAUGGAGUGGAAGAAAUGGGCUACAUUUUCUAGCAUAGAAAACUACGGAAGGGGGUGUGAAAUCGUCCCCAAAAGGCGGAUUUAGCAGUAAAGGCGGACAAUAGAGCCACCUUUAAACUGGCCCUGAGGCACGUACAUACCGCCCGUCACCCUCCUCAUAAGCUAUGAGCCUUCAUAACUAAUACGUCUAUAAGCUAAAGAUGAGGUAAGUCGUAACAAGGUAAGUGUACCGGAAGGUGUACUUAGCAUAUC
rnacentral:ncRNA from 1 species